GAUGAAGAACGCAGCAAAAUGCGAUAAGUAAUGUGAAUUGCAGAAUUCAGUGAAUCAUCGAAUCUUUGAACGCACAUUGCGCCCGCCAGUAUUCUGGCGGGCAUGCCUGUUCGAGCGUCAUUUCAACCCUCAAGCACAGCUUGGUGUUGGGACUCGCGUUAAUUCGCGUUCCCCAAAUUGAUUGGCGGUCACGUCGAGCUUCCAUAGCGUAGUAGUAAAACCCUCGUUACUGGUAAUCGUCGCAGCCACGCCGUUAAACCCCAACUUCUGAAUGUUGACCUCGGAUCAGGUAGGAAUACCCGCUGAACUUAAGCAUAUCAAUAAGCGGAGGA
rnacentral:misc_RNA from 1 species